ACCAUAGAUCCCAAACUUUAAAC
rnacentral:snRNA from 1 species